ensembl:lncRNA novel transcript
CAGAGUCUGGUCCUCACAUUUUAGAUUCAGCUUUGGGAAUUUUGUUCAGGAACUGCAUCAUACAACCCAAAAGCAAAAGAGGAAAAUGCAUAAGCCAGGAUACCUAAAUGUUCAUUUAUUUAAACUUGAAAAUGUGACUGCAAAAGGAGUCAAGAAGUUUAGUACUCAACACAUUUCUUCUUUGUAGAAAUAACUGCUCAAGAAGAUAAAUUGUUACCUAACAGUUGAUUGAUGAAUAUGAAAUCAGAGCAAGAGGGGCUAAUUAGAGAUUUUACUAGCUAGGGCUAUUUACCCAAACCAUCUAUCCAGACUGUAGACAUAGAAUCACCAGAUGGCUAGGAUCCUGGUGCAGCUGGUUCCCCUUUUUCCUUACCCUGAAUGUCAUUAAGGAUGCAUUGCCAAAUGCUGCCCCUCUGGCCUGAUGACUACACUCCAUAUUGGUCACCUGCCUUCUUUUUCCUACAGUCUUCCUCCAGACAGGCACGCCAUACAACCGACUACACUUGGGCUCACUGAAUGAAUCACAUUCUUCUGCUGUGCCUCCCAGAGAUUUCAUCAAAGCACCCGCAGUGGCCUUCUGGAGGCUCCUCAAACUCUCCACUCAAUGUUUCCUGAAAGUGUCGUGUUUCUCACCUCUAGAUUGUUAUUCUCAUCAGUUACAUGUGGGUUUCACAAAUUUAUUUCUCAGAAUGCAAGUCUGUCUCUUAUAUCCUCGGGAAACACACCUUUAUAUCCCAGUUAGUACUGACAAAAAUUAAACUAGGGACUGGCCAAAAACAGUGCCUUUCCUCACUUUAAUCUCACUAAAGUAGAUAAGACUCAAGUUAUUUUGUUCUUGCAAUGGCAUUGACAAAUGUUUGCACCAAAAACCAUGUUGAAGUUCAUUAAGGAAACUGUGAUCCAAGAUCCAAGGUCAAAAAAACAAAUUCAUCAAUUCAGCACACCACCAACUCACAGGCUAAGCAUCUUACUGCUAAUUCAUUGAUGCUGCCAUUUGUCAAGUGCCAAAUUGAAUUAUUGAUUUGUCAAUAAUUUCCUUCCGUUGGUUACUUAUAUAGUAUAUUGCAAUUCUUGUUGCUGAAGUCAGCUACACUUUUUCUAUUUGAAAAACAAUUUCUUGCAUUUGGGAUUUCAGGUAUAGUGAUUGUUACAAAUAUGAAGGACUUGAAUUAACAGCAAGUUUUCAAGUAAAACUUUACUUAUGUAUAACUGAAUGAGUUCUUAAAGACAUUUACUAACAAUUUUCCACAAACUAAAAAUUUAUAAAACAAUAAAUAAAAUAGACUUUAAAAAAAAGCGUGUCACACAGCUGCUUGUUUUUUGUUUGUUUCUUUGUUUGUUUUUUAGUAGUGAAAUGGUGAAAAAUCAGACAAUGGUCACAGAGUUCCUCCUACUGGGAUUUCUCCUGGGCCCAAGGAUUCAGAUGCUCCUCUUUGGGCUCUUCUCCCUGUUCUAUGUCUUCACCCUGCUGGGGAAUGGGACCAUCCUGGGGCUCAUCUCACUGGACUCCAGACUCCACACCCCCAUGUACUUCUUCCUCUCACACCUGGCCGUCGUCAACAUCGCCUAUGCCUGCAACACAGUGCCCCAGAUGCUGGUGAACCUCCUGCAUCCAGCCAAGCCCAUCUCCUUUGCUGGCUGCAUGACAUAGACCUUUCUCUUUUUGAGUUUUGCACAUACUGAAUGCCUCCUGUUGGUGCUGAUGUCCUACGAUCGGUACGUGGCCAUCUGCCACCCUCUCCGAUAUUUCAUCAUCAUGACCUGGAAAGUCUGCAUCACUCUGGCCAUCACUUCCUGGACAUGUGGCUCCCUCCUGGCUAUGGUCCAUGUGAGCCUCAUCCUAAGACUGCCCUUUUGUGGGCCUCGUGAAAUCAACCACUUCUUCUGUGAAAUCCUGUCUGUCCUCAGGCUGGCCUGUGCUGAUACCUGGCUCAACCAGGUGGUCAUCUUUGCAGCCUGCAUGUUCAUCCUGGUGGGACCACUCUGCCUGGUGCUGGUCUCCUACUCACACAUCCUGGCGGCCAUCCUGAGGAUCCAGUCUGGGGAGGGCCGCAGAAAGGCCUUCUCCACCUGCUCCUCCCACCUCUGCGUAGUGGGACUCUUCUUUGGCAGCGCCAUCGUCAUGUACAUGGCCCCUAAGUCCCGCCAUCCUGAGGAGCAGCAGAAGGUCCUUUUUCUAUUUUACAGUUCUUUCAACCCGAUGCUAAACCCCCUGAUUUACAACCUGAGGAAUGUAGAGGUCAAGGGUGCCCUGAGGAGAGCACUGUGCAAGGAAAGUCAUUCCUAAGAGGUGUGACAUUUGAACUGCCAGCCUCAGUUGUCACGUGGACUCUUGAUGCCCAAUUAUUGCCUCAAUCCAGAAAAGUUUACUUCUCUUUAUCUGUGCUUUACUGACAGAAGGGCAAGUCUUCUCUCGUUUUUUGCAGAUAAAAUUUUAGAUGUGUUGCAUUCAUUGGGUUUCUAUGAGAUGUGGUUUUAUCAGACAAUUUUUUCUUUUAUUUCACAAUUACUUUAAUAUCUGUAAAAUAAAGAAUUAUUUUAAUUCAUUUUCCCAGUCCCAAAAGUUAAAUACAGGCCACUUACUUCUUUAACCAAAUGAUAUAGUUUGGCUCUGUGUCCCCACCCAAAUCUCAUGUCAAAUUGUAAUCCCCGCAUGUCAGCGGAGGGACCUGGUGGGAGGUGAUUGGAUCAUGGGGAGGGAUUUCCCCCUUGCUGUUCUGUUGAUAGUGAACGAGUUCUCACGAAAUCUGAUGGUUUAAAAGUGCAGCACUUCUCCCUUUGCUCUCUCUCUCCUGCUGUGCCAUGGUAAGACGUGCCUUGCUUCCCCUGUGGCUUCCGCCAUGAUUGUACCUUUCCUGAGGCCUCUCCAGCCAUGUGGAACUGUGAGCCAAUUAAACUUCUUUUCUUUAGAAA